rnacentral:pre_miRNA from 1 species
CGGGGGAGGCGGGAUCCUGGGCUGUGUCCCCGGCGCCCUGUGCUCCCAGGCCUGCGCUGUUGGAUUGGCUCUCCCCGGAGCCGCGCAGCCCCCU